GGCGCCGUGGCUUAGUUGGUUAAAGCGCCUGUCUAGUAAACAGGAGAUCCUGGGUUCGAAUCCCAGCCGAAUCCGGUGCCU